rnacentral:rRNA from 1 species
CCUACGGGGGGCAGCAGUGGGGAAUAUUGGGCAAUGGAGGCAACUCUGACCCAGCAACGCCGCGUGAAUGAUGAAGGUCUUCGGAUUGUAAAGUUCUUUUCUAAGGGAAGAAGAAAGUGACGGUACCUUAGGAAUAAGCCUCGGCUAACUACGUGCCAGCAGCCGCGGUAAUACGUAGGAGGCAAGCGUUAUCCGGAAUGACUGGGCGUAAGGGGUGCGUAGGUGGUUUGACAAGUUAGUAGCGCAACACCGGAGCUCAACUUCGGAACUACUACUAAAACGGGUGGACUUGAGUGCAGGAGGGGCAAUCGGAAUUCCUGGUGUAGCGGUGGAAUGCGUAGAUAUUAGGAGGAACACCAGUGGCGAAGGCGGAUUGCUGGACUGUAACUGACACUGAGGCACGAAAGCGUGGGGAGCGAACAGGAUUAGAUACCCCAGUAGUC